rnacentral:rRNA from 1 species
UACGGGGGGGGCAAGCGUUGUUCGGAAUUACUGGGCGUAAAGGGCUCGUAGGUGGCCAACUAAGUCUGAUGUGAAAGCCCACGGCUCAACCGUGGAGGGUCAUUGGAAACUGGGGGACUUGGGUACAGAAGAGAAGAGUGGAAUUCCACGUGUAGCGGUGAAAUGCGUAGAGAUGUGGAGGAACACCAGUGGCGAAGGCGACUCUUUGGUCUGUAACUGACGCUGAGGCGCGAAAGCGUGGGGAGCAAACAGG